rnacentral:rRNA from 1 species
UACGGGGGGGGCAAGCGUUGUUCGGAUUUACUGGGCGUAAAGGGCGCGUAGGCGGCCACCGCAAGUCGACUGUGAAAUCUCCGGGCUUAACCCGGAAAGGUCAGCCGAUACUGCGGGGCUAGAGUGCAGAAGGGGCAACUGGAAUUCUCGGUGUAGCGGUGAAAUGCGUAGAUAUCGAGAGGAACACCUGCGGCGAAGGCGGGUUGCUGGGCUGACACUGACGCUGAGGCGCGAAAGCUAGGGGAGCAAACAGG